rnacentral:rRNA from 1 species
UACGUAGGGUGCAAGCGUUGUCCGGAAUUAUUGGGCGUAAAGAGCUCGUAGGCGGUGUGUCGCGUCGGCCGUGAAAACCUGCAGCUUAACUGUGGGCUUGCGGUCGAUACGGGCAUCACUGGAGUUCGGCAGGGGAGACUGGAAUUCCUGGUGUAGCGGUGAAAUGCGCAGAUAUCAGGAGGAACACCGGUGGCGAAGGCGGGUCUCUGGGCCGA